UACGGAGGGGGCUAGCGUUGUUCGGAAUUACUGGGCGUAAAGCGCACGUAGGCGGCUUUGUAAGUUAGAGGUGAAAGCCCGGGGCUCAACUCCGGAACUGCCUUUAAGACUGCAUCGCUCGAAUUGUGGAGAGGUAAGUGGAAUUCCGAGUGUAGAGGUGAAAUUCGUAGAUAUUCGGAAGAACACCAGUGGCGAAGGCGGCUCACUGGCCCGGUACUGACGCUGAGGUGCGAAAGCGUGGGGAGCAAACAGG
rnacentral:rRNA from 1 species